rnacentral:rRNA from 1 species
AUUGAACGCUGGCGGCAUGCCUUACACAUGCAAGUCGAACGGUAACGCGGGGCAACCUGGCGACGAGUGGCGAACGGGUGAGUAAUGCAUCGGAACGUGCCCAGUAGUGGGGGAUAGCCCGGCGAAAGCCGGAUUAAUACCGCAUACGACCUAUGGGUGAAAGCGGGAGACCGUAAGGCCUCGCGCUAUUGGAGCGGCCGAUGUCAGAUUAGGUAGUUGGUGGGGUAAAAGCCCACCAAGCCUUCGAUCUGUAGCUGGUCUGAGAGGACGACCAGCCACACUGGGACUGAGACACGGCCCAGACUCCUACGGGGGGCAGCAGUGGGGAAUUUUGGACAAUGGGCGCAAGCCUGAUCCAGCCAUGCCGCGUGCGGGAAGAAGGCCUUCGGGUUGUAAACCGCUUUUGUCAGGGAAGAAAUCUUCUGAAUUAAUACCUCGGGAGGAUGACGGUACCUGAAGAAUAAGCACCGGCUAACUACGUGCCAGCAGCCGCAGUAAGAC